rnacentral:rRNA from 1 species
GACGUAGGGCGCGAGCGUUGUCCGGAUUUAUUGGGCGUAAAGAGCUCGUAGGCGGCUUGUUGCGUCGGCUGUGAAAACCCAUGGCUCAACCGUGGGCUUGCAGCCGAUACGGGCAGACUAGAGUUCGGUAGGGGAGACUGGAAUUCCUGGUGUAGCGGUGAAAUGCGCAGAUAUCAGGAGGAACACCGGUGGCGAAGGCGGGUCUCUGGGCCGAUACUGACGCUGAGGAGCGAAAGCGUGGGGAGCGAACAGG